GACGAACGCUGGCGGCGUGCUUAACACAUGCAAGUCGAACGGAAAGGCCUUUUCGGAGGUACUCGAGUGGCGAACGGGUGAGUAACACGUGGGUGAUCUGCCCUGCACUCUGGGAUAAGCCUGGGAAACUGGGUCUAAUACCGGAUAGGACCGCACUUUAGUGUGUGUGGUGGAAAGUUUUUUCGGUGUAGGAUGAGCCCGCGGCCUAUCAGCUUGUUGGUGGGGUAAUGGCCUACCAAGGCGGCGACGGGUAGCCGGACUGCGAGGUUGGUCGGCCACAUUGGGACUGAGAUACGGCCCAGACUCCUACGGGAGGCAGCAGUGGGGGAUAUUGCUCAAUGGGCGCAAGCCUGAUGCAGCGACGCCGCGUGGGGGAUGACGGCCUUCGGGUUGUAAACUCCUUUCGCCAGGGACGAAGCGUUUUGUGACGGUACCUGGAGAAGAAGCACCGGCUAACUACGUG
rnacentral:rRNA from 1 species